rnacentral:rRNA from 1 species
GUAGUCUCGCACAGAUGCAUAUCAAUAAGCGGAGGAAAAGAAACUAACAAGGAUUCCCCUAGUAACGGCGAGUGAAGCGGGAAGAGCUCAAAUUUGAAAUCUUAAAGGGUUUCCCUUUACGAAUUGUAGUUUAAAGAAGUGUUUUCUGUUGAGGUUUUGGUAAAAGUUCUUUGGAAUAGGACAUCAUAGAGGGUGAGAAUCCCGUAUUUGACCUUUACUUUCAACUUUGUGAUACACUUUCAAAGAGUCGGAUUGUUUGGGAAUGCAGUCCAAAAUGGGUGGUAAAUUUCAUCUAAAGCUAAAUAUUGGCGAGAGACCGAUAGCGAACAAGUACCGUGAGGGAAAGAUGAAAAGGAACUUUGAAAAGAGAGUUAAACAGUACGUGAAAUUGUCAAAAGGGAAGCGUUUGACACCAGUGUUGUUUUUCUGAAAAUCAAUUAAAGAACUGUUUAUGCUAAGCUGUUUAGACUUUAUCAGCUAUCUGUUUAGUUUUGAGCUUUUCUUUAAUGCACUUUUCAGUUAACAAGUCAACAUCAAUUUCUUUUGCUGUAAAAAAGCUUGAGGAAGGUGGCUUGAGAUUCGUCUUAAGUGUUUAUAGCCUCUUGCCUAUGCAGUCGGAGAGAUUGAGGUCUGCAGCGUAGAUCCUUCGGGGCUAAAUGCAUUUGUGCUAAGUUAUAGCAUUUUAUAGACAACUUGUUGACUAUGAUUUGUCUUGUAGCUUACUCGCUUAUGUUAUUUUACCUACGCUUAGGAUGUUGAAGACUCUACAGAGAUA